rnacentral:rRNA from 1 species
UAUAUGAAGGUGUAUAUAGUUUAGCCUGCUCACUGAUUAUAUUAAAGAGCCGCAGUAUUCUGACUGUGCGAAGGUAGCAUAAUAAAUUGUCUUUUAAAUGGAGGCUUGAAUGAAAGGUUGGACAAAGUAUCAUCUGUUUCUUAAAUAUUUAUUGAAUUUGACUUUCAAGUGAAAAGGCUUGAAUAAAUUAAAAAGACGAUAAGACCCUAUAAAUCUUUACAAUAAACAUGUUCUAUAUUUUAAUUUAUAAGUAUAUAAAAUAUUAAAUUUGUAUUUGUUUCGCUGGGGCGGCGUGGAUAUAUUAAUAAACUGUCUAUGUGUUAAAUCCAAUAAUUAUUGAUUAGUGAGAUUGAUCCUUAAAUAGAUUAAAAGAUUAAGAUACUUUAGGGAUAACAGCGUUAUUUUUUUUGAGAGUUCUUAUCGAAGAAAAAGUUUGCGACCUCGAUGUUGAAUUAAAGUAUCUUUAUGGUGCAGCCGCUAUAAGAGAGAGUCUGUUCGACUUUUAAUACUUUACGUGAU